UGAGCCGGCCCUGCGCACAUAGACUGGAGAGCUUCAUUGGGGUUGAUAAGAAGUUGGCAAACAGGACAGAAAUGCUCCCCGGGAACUGAUUCAAUUUUCGCUAUGCGUUGAAUGUCAAAACCCAUUGGUUCUCAGAUCUCAAGAGCUGUCGUGGCCUAAUGACAAAGCAGCUUUUAAGUCUAUGAGAUAAAUAACAAAUGGAGAAUUUAAAAUUAGUGGGUAGAUUCACACUAGACUGAUCUCUCAUAAAACAUAUACUAAAGAUUCUAGCAACUGCGAUUUCCACCAAGAAAAGAGAUUAAUUAACACAGUCUUUUUUUUUUUUUGAAAGAUAAUUAACACAGUCAACACAUGGAAAUACAAAGAGAGAAGUGACCACGAGAUGCAGUGUAAUGUAAGCAAACUUGAACUAGAACAAAGGAAAACGACGAGAUCACGAAGCGCUGUUGAUGGAUGUUACAUGAUACUUACUUGUGAGAAAACUGACGAUAGCCGAGUGAAAGAGAAGAGAGUCGAGACCGGAGAUGACAACACUUGAGGAGUUGCUGUAAUUAUAUAGGUCUUUAUUUGGUUUUAAACUUUUCUUUGAUACGGAGUCAAACUUGAA
rnacentral:lncRNA from 1 species